rnacentral:rRNA from 1 species
GAUGAACGCUGACAGAAUGCUUAACACAUGCAAGUCUACUUGAACUUCGGUUUGGGUGGCGGACGGGUGAGUCACGCGUAAAGAACUUGCCUCACAGUUAGGGACAACAUUUGGAAACGAAUGCUAAUACCUGAUAUUAUGAUUUUAGGGCAUCCUAGGAUUAUGAAAGCUAUAUGUGCUGUGAGAGAGCUUUGCGUCCCAUUAGCUAGUUGGAGAGGUAACGGCUCACCAAGGCGAUGAUGGGUAGCCGGCCUGAGAGGGUGAACGGCCACAAGGGGACUGGGACACGGCCCUUACUCCUACGGGAGGCAGCAGUGGGGAAUAUUGGACAAUGGACCAAAAGUCUGAUCCAGGAAUUCUGUGUGCACGAUGACGUUUUUCGGAAUGAAAAGUGCUUUCAGUUGGGAAGAAAAAAAUGACGGUACCAACAGAAGAAGUGACGGCUAAAUACGUG